rnacentral:lncRNA from 1 species
UAGGAAGUAGUAGAACUAAGACAUGGGCCAUGGUUACAAGCCAUGAUGUGUCUGGUUAGGAUUGUCAUUUGACCUUCAUUCAUCCACAACUUAUCUGGCUACUACCAUGACUUAUGACCAACCAGCGUACGAGACAACUAAUUCCUGCUUUUAUUUCUAGCAGUUGUAGAUGCUUAAACAAAUGAUAUGUCUGGUUGUGUGAUAGUCAUUUGACCUUCAUCCAUCCACUGCUUAUCUGGCUGCUAGAAUGAGUUAUGACCAACCGGCAUAUGAGACAACUGUUCCAGCUUUUGUUUCUAGUAUUUGUAGUCUGUAGAUGCUUAAAUAAAUGGUGCUGCAUGAAGUAGAAAUACAAUUUAGGUAGCAGGGAAUCCACACCAUGUGCACAUAUAUGCAAAUGUUCUGGAGUUAUCAUGGAGAUUGAAAUUUCUUUAUAUGAGAAGCGUACAGGUGCAGGUGUAUAAACUGCUAAUAUGCAGACUGGAUUAGGAUUACACUUUUAGUAUGUGCGUCUGUAUGUAUGCAUGUGGUUAUAUGUAUGUCUAUGUGUAUGUGUUUAUGUGCAUAUGUAUGUGUGAAUUUGUAUGCGUAUAUGUGUAUGUAUAUGUCUAUGUAUGUUGGGGUGCGGGUGCGUGCGUGUGUGAGAGAGAGAGAGAGAGGGAGGGAGAGAGAAAUAGGGGUGAAAGUAGUAUAGAUAUUAUCCAUCCGAAUUUAUUUUCAUAUUGGAAUCAAUUCGAACGUGGAUAGAAAUUUAAGGAUCCGACUAAUAUGCAUAUCCGCAUUCAUAUCCGUGAAAGAAGCAGAGAUAUAGAUAUAGAUAGACAACUAUCCAAUUUAUAUCUGAAUAUUCGAAUUU